CUCAGGAGAGGCGAGCCUCUCAGGGCUGUGGCUGUGAACAGAUUUGUUUACGGCUUAGACGCCGACCUCUCUCAUUAGUUAUAAGUUUUCAAAUUGGCCCUUUCUUGUAUAAAUCGCCUGAAAAAAAUAUGAUUUUUAACAAGCACAGCCAUAGCCUGAUGUUAAUUAAAAAACAAAACAAAACAAAAACAAAAACACGGAAAGAUGAUGUUUAAGUCUAAAAGGAAGGGCACGGAAAAUACACUUUCAGAUAUUCACAAGUUUUCACAAAAUGUGCCCCUUUAUACAGCCCAUCAUGGAUGCUAUUCGUGGCCAGUCUUGCUCAUCCUGUUGCUUCACAGGUAAACGUUGGCACUGGGCGGCUAGAGAUGGUCUCCAGCACUCAGUACUCCCACUGCUAGUUUAGACUACAUCAAAUGCGUGAAUACUUAUGAUUGGUUCCUAUAAGAAUUGUCUACGUUUCCUAGCUGUUGUUAUAGGGUCCUUGUUCCAAUCUGAACCCUUGGAACCAAACAGCAUCUCAUAAAAUAAUCUUUCACAGUCCAGUUGAUGAUGCUAAAGUUUAAAAGACACCCACCACAGCCAUCACCACUCAGAUCUCCUCCUCACUCCUAACCACUGCCAUCUCUGUAGACCAACUGAAACCAUCUUGUUCUUUUACACAGAAGUGCAAGCAAUCUCAUGGUUUUAAGUAGUCAAUGUCAAUCCAAGUUCUCUGAUGUAUCUAUAUUUCACAUAAUAUUUUAAAGUCAUUCUGACAUUGUGCCACAUCAAAAUAUGUAUUUGAAGUAGAUCACUGAAACAUAUUUAUGCAUCAAUAAAAUGUCCUAAAGCUGUUUCCUCUUCACUAUUAGGUUUUUAUUAAAGGGUACCCUAAGAAUUAGUUAUGUACUACUAGAGGUUUUUUCCCCUCCCCUUUUUUAAUGCAAUAAGGGGUUUUAAUUUCAGAGAAACAGAUGAACAGUUUCAAGAGCCUGGUACCCAACUCUAUAUAACUCUUUCACCAAAACAAGCUUGACUUCUCCAUAUUUUAGUGGUGUUGGACUUUAUUAGUUCUCCACGAUUUUUCAGAAACCAUGUUAAUAUCAAACAGAGGUCAAAGUUAGCUUCAUAAUUUUUUU
rnacentral:lncRNA from 1 species